UACAGAGGUCUCAAGCGUUGUUCGGAUUCAUUGGGCGUAAAGGGCGCGUAGGCGGUCCGCUAAGUUGGAUGUGAAAACUCUGGGCUUAACCCAGAGCCUGCAUUCAAAACUGACGGGCUAGAGUUCUGGAGGGGGUAGCGGAAUUCCUGGUGUAGCGGUGAAAUGCGUAGAUAUCAGGAGGAACACCGGUGGCGAAGGCGGUUCUCUGGGCCUGUACUGACGCUGAGGAGCGAAAGCGCGGGGAGCGAACAGG
rnacentral:rRNA from 1 species